AUUGAACGCUGGCGGCAGGCCUAACACAUGCAAGUCGAGCGGAUGAAGGGAGCUUGCUCCUGGAUUCAGCGGCGGACGGGUGAGUAAUGCCUAGGAAUCUGCCUGGUAGUGGGGGAUAACGUCCGGAAACGGGCGCUAAUACCGCAUACGUCCUGAGGGAGAAAGUGGGGGAUCUUCGGACCUCACGCUAUCAGAUGAGCCUAGGUCGGAUUAGCUAGUUGGUGGGGUAAAGGCCUACCAAGGCGACGAUCCGUAACUGGUCUGAGAGGAUGGUCAGUCACACUGGAACUGAGACGCGGUCCAGACUCCUACGGGAGGCAGCAGUGGGGAAUAUUGGACAAUGGGCGAAAGCCUGAUCCAGCCAUGCCGCGUGUGUGAAGAAGGUCUUCGGAUUGUAAAGCACUUUAAGUUGGGAGGAAGGGCAGUAAGUUAAUACCUUGCUGUUUUGACGUUACCAACAGAAUAAGCACCGGCUAACUUCGUG
rnacentral:rRNA from 1 species